UCUUAUUCUCUCUCCUCUUGUUCUUGUCUCUCUCAUCUUUUCUCUCUCCUCUUAUUCACGUCUCUUUUGCGGUUGCGGUCAAUACAUUCACAAGCAAACAUCAUUUAAGGUAUGAGUUCUUGAUUUUUUCCUUUCAGAUUUUCGUUCUUAAUGGAUCAAAACCUAAGAAUGGAUCCCUUAUCUACCUUCUUCAUGUUUUGGUUUGUUUUAGAUUUGCCUAUUUUUCUCUCUUUAAAGUUUCUAUUUUCACACCUUUAAUUUAUUUGGGUCACAAUUUGAUGUGGGUUUUGCAAUUAAUUUGUGUUUAGUUCUUGAUUUAAUUUUGGGUUCCUCAUAUUUAUGAAAUUGAUUGAAGUGCAAAUUACUUCAGGUUCUUCUUUUUAAGUCAUUUGAAUCGUUUGUUUUUACGUUUUCUACAACCGAUCUAUCACCGGAACUUGAUUUUCUUUUGUUAUGAUUCAGUAAAUUCUUCCAAUUUAUGUUCAUUUUUUUUUCAAAAUCUGGUGUUCUUUCUAUUUCUAGCUGUAAUUAACUUCUUUUUUUUGCCUAAUUUUGUUAGCUUUUUAGAUCUGAAAUGUGUCCAUUGAUGUCAGGUAUGUUUCUUUUUUUUUUUGCUUUCUUUUCUUUCUAUAUGUAUUCUGAAAUUAAAUUGGUUCUUUAUUUUGUUACCUUACUUAAAUUUAAUUCUUUUUCAAAUAUACUCCAUCUGUUUUUUUUUUUUUUAUCUUUCUCACUUAGAAUCUUGACACUAUUCACAAUUAUAGAGAAUCUUUUAGAUUUUUCUCAAUAUAUAAGAAAAAAUAUAGUCAUGUGGGGUCUUGUUUGAUUCGUCUCAAUGAAUACUUUAUUAAUAUUCAACUAUUAUAGAGAAUCUAAUUUACCUAAAAUUCAGAAAAAGCUAAGCACCCAGUUAUAUCGAAGGUAUUUUUUUCUUGAUGAUUUAUGCUUAAUUGUUUUUUUUAGGGUUCUUUCUUGAUUAUUGAUAUUAGAGUCCUAACUGGUGUAAAACGUGCAAGUUAAUUAGUUGCAUUAUCUGUAGUUGCAUAAUAUAUUACUUUGUUUACUUUUUUGUUUUAAAAUUCUGGUAGAUUACAUUGUUAGGAGUUUAAUAAUAAGAUGGGUGAUCAUCAAAAAAGGAAAUUAAUCUUGAAGAAUCAAGAAAUAUUUUGAUUUGAUUGUUUUGUAGCGAAUUGAAGUUCAUUCUAAUCCCGAAAAUUCAUUAUAUUCUCAUGGAUUUCAAACGGAUCUGGGUAAGAUUAGCUUUUUGGCAACUUGAAGUGCAUAUCGAGUCUCGAAAGUUUCGUGUUUUAUUUAUAUUUGAUGUUAUUGCAAUUAGAAUUCUAAAUUGUAAGAGGUUGAAAUAGGAAUUGGUGAUGUGUGAGAAAUGAGAAGGUUUUAUAUCAGUUGAAGAAUUUAAUUAUUAAGUUUUCCCUUUUUAGGAUAACUUGCUUGUUUGCAAAUUCAUAUCGAAAUAAGCAUGAGCAUAGUCUUAGUUAACAUAAAGAGUGAGGGAUAGCCUAGUGGUUAGGGCUUCCCUCCCGGUUCCAGGAGGUCCUGGGAUCGAUUGUCACUUUUGGUAAGUUGGGAUCCCCUUUAUUCCCCCAACAUGUUAAAGUUUCUCCUUACCUUAUUAAAAAAAAAAUAGUCUUAGUGAACAACAAUGGCAUUAUUGGAUCUUGAUCCUAAAGGGAUGGUGUUGACUAUACGGACCAAGAUGUCAUCCUUUAUGUAACUCGUAUAGUCCCAAUUGUUUCAUCUUCUUUUUGUUACCCUUUUCAUUUUGAUCAAUUGUGGUAUUGCUUAGUCCAUUAUUGUAAUUAAUUUGAAUGAUGUUUUCUAUAUAUAUAGAACACAAUAGGUUGCUUCAAUAAAGGAAUUGUUUUAAGUUAUGUUGAACUUCGAACCGUGCUAAGAGUUAAUAGAAACCAUUUUCAUUUUUAUGCUAAAAAAAUGAAGAGCUUAACUUGCUUCAAUUUUAUGUUUCUUUUUUCUUUUUUUUUUUGCUUUUCACAAGAUUAAAAUCAUUACAAUGAAAAACUACUUAUACAAUUUUGUUUGAUUUGUUUUUUACAAUAACUUGAAUUAAACAUACAAGGAAGUCGGUCUUUUUUAAUUAGUUUAAUGGAGGCCGGUCUCAAUCUUAAAUUCCCAAAUACUAAGGGCAUAUAUUUAUUAGCUUUUCUAACAAUGUUUAUCUUUCGUCCUAUAUAUGACUGUUAAAUUAACAAACUUGCUUUUAGAAUCUGGACCAACUUGGUACUUCAAACAAAUAAGCACAUGUUUAAAUGAGGUUCGUCCUAGCAUCUAGACGAUCUCCGAACUAUAUUCAUAUAAAUAUAAGUCCCAAUGAAGCUCGUCCUAGUAUCUUGGACGGGCAUCAAACUAUACUCAAAUAAAUAUAAGUCCAAACGAAGGUCGUCCUAACAUCUUGGACGACCAACAGAUUAUACUCGUAUGAAUACAUGUUCAAAUGAAACUCGCCCUAGCAUCUGGACGACCACUGAACUAGUAUAAAUAUAAGUUUGAAUGUAGCUCGUCCUAGCGUCUGAACGACCAUAUAGUUUUUGAACAAAUGUCUAAGUCAAAAUUGGCCUCUUCGUAUGGGUGUGUUAUAAGCUCUCAGGUUUGGUUAUCCCCCCCCCCCUUGAGAUUGAGCUUGUCCUGUCAUUCCAGAUGAGUUGUGUUCCAAGAAGGAGAACAACCACAAAAGACCGAACCUCUAUAGGACUUUCAUUUUGGACGAGUUUGGAUAUAUAUACACCUGCCGACCUUAAGUUAUGGGCUUACCAUGUAUUGGAUGGCUUCCUUUAGGAAGAAGUUUUCAUCUUGUAGUAAUGCUUCUUUUACUAAGGUUAUUACUACUUGGUUGACCUUGCAAUUGAAAGUAAGAUUCCUUUACUAAGGCUUGCUUAUUUCUGGUUGGCUUCCUUUAGGGGACCAUGAUGUUUCUCUUACUAGAGAUUAUCACUUUUUGGCUAACCAGAUAUGUAAUCUUAUGUGGUUGGCAAUCCUCCCUCUGAUAAUCCUUCCCAAGAUGAUCUUGACAAAAUUUUGUCAAGUUCAAUUUAUCAGAAGUACUUUGAUGAAAUGGUAUCAAUUACAUAUGUUGUGAAAGAUUUGCUAGCUGGUUGGAAAGAGGUGUCUAAUCCUUUUACUACUGCGUUUCCUAGCUUUACAGUGACUCAAUUGAGUCAGAAGACCAAUGAGAUCAUCCAGAACAUUGUCAACAACGUUUUUUGUGAUGCAAGUGAGGACAUGUCCGUGAAAGAGAAUAUAUGGACUGUUUUCCAAAAUGCUUUGUCUAGGGGUCCAGCCAAAUCAACUCUAAGGCUGUAUGAGUAUGCAGUUGAGGGUCCUUUCAAAUCUUUCAAAGACGAUGAAAGAUUUGAAGAUGUGAUGCAAGAUCUCCCAAUAUUUUAAGGGAGGUUGUUGAUUAUUGUUCUGAAAAUCAACAUCCUUUAGAUGGGAGUGAAGAGAUCUUCCAGCUAGAUGAAGUGUUCUUCUCUAUACCUCGGAGUGAGAUUUGGACGGUUGCUACUGAGAUGUUUGAUUAGUUAUAGAUAAUUGGGUUUUUUUCCCAAUUUUGCUCAAAGGAGCAAAUCAUCAUUUUGUCAUGUUUGUGCUGGACACAAAGAAAAAGACUGUUUACUAUGUUGAUAAUAAGAUUUGGGAUAACGAUAAGGAAUAUAAGAAAAUGAUGGAGACUCUCAGUUCAAUCAUUGCUGAUGGAGUUUCAAGUCUUUUCCAACAUUAUGAAAUCCCACAAUCUCAAGGUGAUGAUAUGGGUUUAUAGGGAAUGACAUAAGUCAAAGGAAGCUUCAGAAAAAGGUGCAUAUGAUUUGGACUGUGGUGUGUACAUACUUGUCCAUAUGCUACUUUUUGAAGGCUCAUAAGAGUUUGAAUGCCCAUAUUUGAAUGAUGAGAAGAUUAGGAAAGCAGCAAGAGUCUCCUUGUGUGGUUGCAUGAUUUUAUCUGAUCUGAAUAAGAAUGGAAGUGAGCUUGUGAAAAAGGUAAUAUCAUUCAGAUCAGAUACUGUUGCUUUUAUUGAAGAAAAUAAAAGAAAGAAAGCUAAAGAGAGUAAGAGGAUUGAAGAGGAGUUGAGACAGAAAAUGCAGCAGGAGAAUAAGAACAAAAAAGUUGAGGAUGGAAAGAAGAAGAAGACAGGAAGAAAAAAGUUAACCGUCAAAUUUGCAAAGUAAAACAUAUAGUGGAUUUCUAUAUGAUAUAGUGUGGUUAUUGAUCAUAUAGUGUAUUUCUGUGUGAUAGUGUAGAUAUAGUAUUAGACAAACAUAUAAUGAAUUUCUAUGUGAUAUAGUGUGUUUAUAGAUCAUAUAGUGUAUUUAUGUGUGAUAGUGUAGAUAUAGUAUUAGACAAACAUAUAGUGGAUUUCUAUGUGAUAUAGUGUGUUUAUAGAUCAUAAAGUGUAUUUCUAUGUGAUUGUGUAGAUAUAGUAUUAGACAAAUAUAUAGUGGAUUUCUAUGUGAUAUAGUGUGUUUAUAGAUCA